UUGAAGUCAAGGAUACUGUUGAGGAUGCACAUCUUAGGGGAGAGGAUUUCAAUAGCAGAAUGGUUAUUCACUUUGUUAAAUCAUUCUGCUGUUGAAACCCACUCCUCCAAUAUGUGUAUCUCCAGUUGUAGCCUUGACUUCAAGGAUACCCUCUUAUAUGUUGAUUAUCGAAACAUCAAAAGUACCCCCACCAAGAUCAAAGAUUAUCAUCAACAAAAUUUCCCUUUUUAUCAAGACCGUAAGCGAUUGCAGCUGCAGUUGGUUCGCUAAUAAUACACAUUACAUUAGUUUGCAAUUUCGACUAUCAUGACCUUCCUCUUUAGAUAUUCUGCAAAUGCUUGGUUUCUUUUUCUCCAUGGAGAUAUUUGUAUCUAUAUCCAUAGAGUUCUGGGAGGGUGUUACCUAUUCAUUAUUUUGGGGAGUGGAACUAGGACCGGGAAAUCCGUACACGCACAGGUACAAUAGCUCUCUGGGAAUGCUCCGUAUUUCUCAGAAUUGAUUGAUGGAAACUGGCACAGGACUUCCAAAAGAGUUUCAACUGAUUCGGAUUCGGAAAGAGGUGUCUCAGAGGCUGAACCAAAGGCUAAAAAGUUGUACAAAUCUCGCCUCAGUACUCCGUCGACUAGGAUUUUGGGUACCAAGCGACCUGAAAAGCAAAGAAGAGCUACAAUCAAUUGCCAGGAGUGCAUUAUUUAUGUUGCACCCUGAUAGAGUCAUCGGCCACACACUGCUUAAACAAGAUGAAGCAUAUGAGAAAGCUCUAAUUAUUAAUAAGUGGAGGAAUGCCGAGAUACAGGAGAAUGUCAUAAUCGAUCAUUGAAAAUCACGUGCUUAA